GGUCGCAAUGACGACAUUUAAAAUUCAAGCUCAACAGACUGGAUUACAAUCUCUCUGUAUGAGAAGAUUGUGUGUCGACAACCACUUCUUUUACUGAGCGAUC
rfam:Jatropha curcas cultivar GZQX0401 scaffold906_44, whole genome shotgun sequence.